rnacentral:rRNA from 1 species
CAGCCAGGCUAACUCUGUGCCAGCAGCCGCGGUAAUACAGAGGGUGCAAGCGUUAAUCGGAUUUACUGGGCGUAAAGCGCGCGUAGGCGGCUAAUUAAGUCAAAUGUGAAAUCCCCGAGCUUAACUUGGGAAUUGCAUUCGAUACUGGUUAGCUAGAGUGUGGGAGAGGAUGGUAGAAUUCCAGGUGUAGCGGUGAAAUGCGUAGAGAUCUGGAGGAAUACCGAUGGCGAAGGCAGCCAUCUGGCCUAACACUGACGCUGAGGUGCGAAAGCAUGGGGAGCAAACAGGAUUAGAUACCCUGGUAGUCCAUGCCGUAAACGAUGUCUACUAGCCGUUGGGGCCUUUGAGGCUUUAGUGGCGCAGCUAACGCGAUAAGUAGACCGGCUGUGGAGUACGGUCGCAAGACUAAAACUCAAAUGAAUUGACGGGGGGCCGCACAAGCGGUGGAGCAUGUGGUUUAAUUCGAUUGCAACGCGAAGAACCU